rnacentral:rRNA from 1 species
CACGUAGGGGGCAAGCGUUGUCCGGAUUUAUUGGGCGUAAAGAGCUCGUAGGCGGUUCGGUAAGUCGGGUGUGAAACCUCCAGGCUCAACCUGGAGACGCCACCCGAUACUGCUGUGACUCGAGUCCGGUAGGGGAGCGUGGAAUUCCUGGUGUAGCGGUGAAAUGCGUAGAUAUUGGGAGGAACACCGGUGGCGAAGGCGGGUCUCUGGGCCGUAACUGACGCUGAGGAGCGAAAGCGUGGGGAGCGAACAGGAUUAGAUACCCGGAG